GUACACUCCUGCGGGAAGCAGCAGUGGGGAAUAUUGGACAAUGGGCGCAAGCCUGAUCCAGCCAUGCCGCGUGAGUGAUGAAGGCCCUAGGGUUGUAAAGCUCUUUCACCGGUGAAGAUAAUGACGGUAACCGGAGAAGAAGCCCCGGUUAACUUCGUGCCAGCAGCCGCGGUAAUACGAAGGGGCUAGCGUUGUUCGGAUUUACUGGGCGUAAAGCGCACGUAGGCGGACUAUUAAGUCAGGGGUGAAAUCCCGGGGCUCAACCCCGGAACUGCCUUUGAUACUGGUAGUCUUGAGUUCGAGAGAGGUGAGUGGAAUUCCGAGUGUAGAGGUGAAAUUCGUAGAUAUUCGGAGGAACACCAGUGGCGAAGGCGGCUCACUGGCUCGAUACUGACGCUGAGGUGCGAAAGCGUGGGGAGCAAACAGGAUUAGAUACCCCUGUAGUCCCA
rnacentral:rRNA from 1 species